rnacentral:rRNA from 1 species
AUUGAACGCUGGCGGCAGGCCUAACACAUGCAAGUCGAGCGGAUGAAGGGAGCUUGCUCCUGGAUUCAGCGGCGGACGGGUGAGUAAUGCCUAGGAAUCUGCCUGGUAGUGGGGGAUAACGUCCGGAAACGGGCGCUAAUACCGCAUACGUCCUGAGGGAGAAAGUGGGGGAUCUUCGGACCUCACGCUAUCAGAUGAGCCUAGGUCGGAUUAGCUAGUUGGUGGGGUAAAGGCCUACCAAGGCGACGAUCCGUAACUGGUCUGAGAGGAUGAUCAGUCACAAUGGAAAUGUGAAACGGUAAAGACGACUACGGGAGGAAGCAGUGGGGAAUAUGAAAAAAUGGGCGAAAGAAUGAACGAGAGAAGACGCGGGAGUGAAGAAGGGAUUAGGAUUGUAAAGCAUUUGGAGUAGGGAGGAAAAGAGGUGAAUGGAAUCAGGGAUAGAUAGAAGGUAACAAAAGAGAAAGAAAAGGCUAAAGACGUG